CUGCCUGCUGCAUAGCUGCUACUUCUGCUGGUUCUCUUCCUGCUCACACUCCUCCGGAGCAGUUUGGGAGAAGAACGCUAGUUUCUGUGAAAAGCUAAGGACACUGGUCUCUGAGGCGAAGAUGCCAUGUGGAUCCUCAUGUCUGCUUCUGCACACUGUGCACAAUGCACUGCGUCAGGGAUGUGCAGCCCUGGAUCCGAGCCUGGAGGAGGAGCCCGAGCGACAAGAAGAGUUCUCUGCCUUCCAAGCUCCUCCCACCACAAGCCCACCGCAGGGACCCGGGCCCAGGGCUGUGCGCUCAGCAGCGGAGCAGCUGCGUGUCGCUCGGGCCCUGGGCCCAGACCGCAGCCCAGGGAGCUGUGCCUGAGUCCGGAUGCCACACCACUCGCAGCGCUGUGCUUAGCUAUCCAUGCGUUUCUGUUGUGCUGCUGGGGAUUGAGCUUGGAACUGUACCGCAAAAGGGAACUUUAAAAGCUAGAUGCUUUGUUCUUUUAGAGAUAAGCGGCGCCUCCAGAUCUCCCCAAGAGCACAUGGCCGACACCCCGUCCUGUCCUCAGCCCGGGUGAACAGCAGAAGGACCUGGCUCCUCCCGUGCACACACAGCGGGAAGACCCACAACAGAACGGCUCUCAUUUGGAGAAGUGGCGAGCUCCGGCACUUCCCCUGAGGAAGCUAACUGGAACUGUCGCAGACCCAUCGCACCCGAAAUUCCUCUGGAACUCGGACGUCCAUAGAGUGAGCCAGGCCUCUCGGCAGCUGCAGUGGCUCUACUCACUGUGUUGAUAAACUGGAGAUUGUCGGUGUCUGAUUGCUGCCUGGUGAGAGCUCCGGAUUCACUUGAACCCUAAGCAGGAAAUGUUACUGCGCCUCAUCCACCCUCCUCUUAACCGAAGAACCCUUUUCCGGGGGGGCGGGGAACGCGCCUUAUGAG
rnacentral:lncRNA from 1 species